GGGUUGUGAGGUUAAGCGACUAAGCGUACACGGUGGAUGCCCUGGCAGUCAGAGGCGAUGAAGGACGUGCUAAUCUGCGAUAAGCGUCGGUAAGGUGAUAUGAACCGUUAUAACCGGCGAUUUCCGAAUGGGGAAACCCAGUGUGAUUCGUCACACUAUCAUUAACUGAAUCCAUAGGUUAAUGAGGCGAACCGGGGGAACUGAAACAUCUAAGUACCCCGAGGAAAAGAAAUCAACCGAGAUUCCCCCAGUAGCGGCGAGCGAACGGGGAGCAGCCCAGAGCCUGAAUCAGUGUGUGUGUUAGUGGAAGCGUCUGGAAAGGCGCGCGAUACAGGGUGACAGCCCCGUACACAAAAAUGCACAUACUGUGAGCUCGAUGAGUAGGGCGGGACACGUGGUAUCCUGUCUGAAUAUGGGGGGACCAUCCUCCAAGGCUAAAUACUCCUGACUGACCGAUAGUGAACCAGUACCGUGAGGGAAAGGCGAAAAGAACCCCGGCGAGGGGAGUGAAAAAGAACCUGAAACCGUGUACGUACAAGCAGUGGGAGCACAGAGCAAUCUGUGUGACUGCGUACCUUUUGUAUAAUGGGUCAGCGACUUAUAUUCUGUAGCAAGGUUAACCGAAUAGGGGAGCCGAAGGGAAACCGAGUCUUAACUGGGCGUUAAGUUGCAGGGUAUAGACCCGAAACCCGGUGAUCUAGCCAUGGGCAGGUUGAAGGUUGGGUAACACUAACUGGAGGACCGAACCGACUAAUGUUGAAAAAUUAGCGGAUGACUUGUGGCUGGGGGUGAAAGGCCAAUCAAACCGGGAGAUAGCUGGUUCUCCCCGAAAGCUAUUUAGGUAGCGCCUCGUGAAUUCAUCUCCGGGGGUAGAGCACUGUUUCGGCAAGGGGGUCAUCCCGACUUACCAACCCGAUGCAAACUGCGAAUACCGGAGAAUGUUAUCACGGGAGACACACGGCGGGUGCUAACGUCCGUCGUGAAGAGGGAAACAACCCAGACCGCCAGCUAAGGUCCCAAAGUCAUGGUUAAGUGGGAAACGAUGUGGGAAGGCCCAGACAGCCAGGAUGUUGGCUUAGAAGCAGCCAUCAUUUAAAGAAAGCGUAAUAGCUCACUGGUCGAGUCGGCCUGCGCGGAAGAUGUAACGGGGCUAAACCAUG
rnacentral:rRNA from 1 species